AUACGAGGGGUGCGAGCGUUAAUCGGAAUUACUGGGCGUAAAGCGUUCGUAGGCGGUUUGUUAAGCAAGAUGUGAAAGCCCUGGGCUCAACCUGGGAACUGCAUUUUGAACUGGCAAGCUAGAAUACUGUAGAGGGUGGUGGAAUUUCCAGUGUAGCGGUGAAAUGCGUAGAGAUUGGAAGGAACAUCAGUGGCGAAGGCGGCCACCUGGACAGAUAUUGACGCUGAGGAACGAAAGCGUGGGGAGCGAACAGGAUUAGAAACCCUAGUAGUCC
rnacentral:rRNA from 1 species